rnacentral:rRNA from 1 species
UGCGAUCAUACCAAAGACUAAUGCACCGGAUCCCAUCAGAACUCCGCAGUUAAGCGUGCUUGGGCGAGAUUAGUAAAAGGAUUGGUGACCCCCAGGGAAGUACGAGUGUUGCA